rnacentral:tRNA from 1 species
GCCGAAGUGGUGGAACUGGUAGACACGCUGUCUUGAGGGGGCAGUGCUCUAACGGGUGUGCGGGUUCGAAUCCCGCCUUCGGCACAA